rnacentral:lncRNA from 1 species
GGAAUUUCAGGUCUGAGUGCAUCUUCAUCCUGUUUUCUAGGACGGAAGGGAUCUUUUUCAACCUCAAGAGAACGAACAACCAUUGGCGUGGUUAGUGGAUGAGCUUUGUCCAUGUAGAACCGAUCAAGAAUCUUUCCAGUGUAGUUUGAUUGAUGAACAAAUAUGCCUGAGGAUAAGUGUUCCACUUGUAUACCUAAACAAAAUUUUGUCUUUCCA